rnacentral:lncRNA from 1 species
ACAAACACAAAAGACACGCUGAGGGGCCGCCGGCUCCCGCCGAGACUGCCGCCCGCACCCGGCCAGCCCCCGCCCCCGGCCCUGCACUCCCAUCCCGCUCCGUGUGCGCACGGCGUCGAACCCCCGAAGCCCGGGUUUGGGGCGCCCGGAGGGAAGUGGGGGGAGGGGAAGGCGGGCGGAGGCGCGGCGGGUGAACGCCCGGCCUGCGGGCGUCUCGGGCCGCGGCGGGGAGGGGAGGGAGGGGCUGCCCCCGCGCGGGCCCCGGCGCGCGCCCCCGAGGAGACCCGGGCGGCAGUGGGGGAGGAGGACGCGGUCGGCCGGGUCGCCGCGCCCCAUUGGAAAACGCUCCCCAGCAGGAAGCUGGCAAAUAGGAAUCCAGCGUCCCGCGCCCGCUGUCGGACCUGGCCGCUGCGGCAGCGGGAGGGGCGGACCGACGGCCUCCUUCCCGCCUGCGCGCUCGGCCAAGUGCGGCCGGGUCCUGCGGGACCGGCCCGAGUCCGCCGUAGACAACUUGAUCCGCUAAGACUCCUGGGCCGGCCGCCUGCGUGCAGGGCAGCCCCUCGCCGGUGUUGGCCUCCGGGAUCAGGGGACGGGGCUCGCUCUCCUCCCGGGCCCGGGCCCCCGACGCAAGAUGGCUGUGUCGCGUCGGCCUCUAAACAAUGUGUGGAGCGCGCAGCUCCUGCACCAGGGCCUGGUGGCUUGUCCUGCCCGCCCGUGGGGGCCGUGUGAUCUGUUUUCGGUAGGAUUGCUUUGGAAAGGAAUUGCCGAAUAUAGAUAGUCAAAUGUCCGCAGCUUCUGCAUAGUUUAGAAGAGGCUGAAAACGGCAGAAAGAAGGCAAACGUGGUUUGGGAAUUAGUACAUAUACCUGUUUUCCAAUUCUCAGUAGCAUAGGAAACGGACUUUUCAUGGCCCAAGUUAUCCUCACGACUUGUCAGUUGAUUGGCUUUGGAACCUCUGAACCGUCCCUAGAUGGUAUUGACGCUUCACAACUGUGUGUAAAGGUUUUCAAUGGAAGGGUCAUGCAAAUAUCCCGUAGGGUAGUGAAGGAGGAAAAUUUCAUAAAUGAAGGGCAGUAAUUAUUUGUAAUCUGAAGAUCUCACAAAGCGGCUUAGUGAUAAACAUUAUCCCGAAACAGAUACAUGGAAAUCAGAUACGAGGGAAGAAAUGGAUUUGUCCAAGGUCACUUAAGUGAGGAAGAGACCUAGGAGAAACAAACAGACAAAAAUCCAGGCCUCCCGUUUCAUUAUUAUUUCAUGAAUGUUAAGUGUCCAUGGUUGCUGUGCAGAACACAUGCAAUCUCUAAUCCUAUCCUAAAAGCACAUAUGCAAUCAGCUUGGACCGAGCUGCCAGCAAAGAAUUUCCUAUAAUUCAAGCCAAGAUGAGUUAUUUUGCUUGUUUUUUGUUUUGUUUUCAGGAAACCGAAAUAUUUAUUGUUGGAUUUAUCCAGGAAGGCUGUUCUGCAUUAGUUAAAUGCAUCAUAUCUUCAAGAAAUGUUAAAUGACAUGGGUAAUGUUUUCUUUGUAUGCUGGAUUUUUCAAUAGCUUCUACUUCUUGGCUUUAAAAAAUAUUUCUAACCAAGGGUCAGACCAUUUUAGGUAGAGUAAUUAUGAUCUUAGAUGAUUUGAACUAACUCAGCUGUCUGUCCAUUUGUGAAAUGGGAAUAAUAAUAUUUAUCUCUAUGAAGUUAGGCCACAAAUUCUUUCUAGUAGGUUCAAGUAUUUAAGCACCUGGAGAGGUGACUGGUUACCCUCCUAGUGGCUUCAGGAAGUUUUCUCACUGAAUGAAUAUUUAUUGAGUGCCAACUCUGCUCAGCACAAUUCAGGGGUGCUGGGAAUGCAGCAGUGAAUAACACAAGCAGUGUUCCUGCCCUCAUGGGGCUUAUGAUCUCUGGAAGCACUGCUUUGCACAGGGAAGUAGCACCAGGAGGGGGUAAAGAAAGAGGGACUUUGGAGCCCCAAGAUUGGCAAAAACUAUAGCUAAUGAGAGAGGUGAACUGUAGAGUCUAGAUAAUGGGGAAGGAGAGGUGCCAGAGCAAGAAGGGAUUCUCACAGGGCCCUACGGGUCAGUCCUGAAUUGGCUUUACUAGAACUCAGGCCCAGCACAAUGGCUCACAUCUGUAAUCCCAGCGCUUUGGGAGGCCGAGGUGGGUGGAUCACUUGAGAUCAGGAGUUUGAGACCAACCUGGCCAACCUGGAGAAACCCUGUCUCUACUAAAAAUAAAAAUUAGCCGUCAUGGUGGCACACGUCUGUAAUCCUAGCUACUUGGGAGGCUGAAGUGGGAGGAUUGCUUGAAUUUGGGAGGUGGAGGUUGCAGUGAGCCGAAAUUUUGCCACUGCACUUCAGCCUGGGCAACAGUAAGACUCCAUCUCAGAAAAAAAAAAAAAUAGAAUUCUUGGGCUAAUAAUGGCCUCAACAUUUGCAGUUAAAAAAGAAAUGGGGAGGAUGGGAGCAAAAGGUUUUAAGUUAAAAUAUUUUCCUUAGAAUAGAGUACUUAUGGCCAUGAAUUUAGAUUUGUUUAUAAGUAGAAAAGUAGAAUGGAAAGGAUUUUAAAAGCAACGCUAUUCAUAUCUGCUUGGCUCCUGUCAAUCAACUGCAAAGAUUACUGCCUCAUGGAGAUGCUUCUGGUCACUGUAAUGCUAUCUCCAUGCACACUUUAUCACAUUGAUUUCACAUCACCUUUUUAUCACAUUGAUUUACAUCUAUCAUUUGUUCACUUGCUUAUUGUCCAGUUCCUCCCCAAAGAAUAUAACCUCUGAGGUAAUGGUGGUCUUGUCUGUUUUUUCUCCUGUCCCUGAUCAUUUGCUGUACCUUUUUAUUAGGUGAUCUCAUCCAGUUACAUGGAAAUUAUCAUGUAGAAAAAUAGAAUAAAACAAUGAACCCCUUGUACCCAUCUUUAGAAAUUACUGACUCAUGACCAAUAUUGGGUUCCCUCUAUACUCUACUCACUUCUACCUCACCGAUUUGAAUUAUUUUGAAGCAAAUCCCAGCCUGCAUUAUUUCAUCUGUAGAUAAUUUAGUAUGUAUCAUAGGAGUCAAAUAGAUGAUUGAUGUGCCCCUUAAAUCUCUUAUAAUCUACAGAUUCUUUCUCUGUAUUUGUACUUUGUUGAAAAAUAUGGAUUGGCCAGGCGUGGUGGCUCACACUUGUAAUCCCAGCACUUUGGGAGGCUGAGGUGGGCUGAUCACUUGAGGUCAGGAGUUGGAGACCACCUUGGCCAACAUGGCGAAACCCUAUCUCUACUAAAAAUACAAAAAUUAGCCAGGCGUGGUGGCUCACGCCUGUAGUCCCAGCUACUUGGGAGGCUGAGGUAGGAGAAUUGCUUGAACCCCAGGAGGCGGAGGUUGCAGUGAGCAGAGACUGCGCCACUGCACUCCAGUCUGGGCGACAGAGCAAGACUCCGUCUCAAACAAAAGAAAAAUAUGGAUCAUUUAUCCUGAGGCUUUGGAUCCACACUGUCUAAAACUGUCCUUUCCCUCAGUCUUGUCCAGUAAAUAGCACUACCAUUUACUCAACUCAAACCAAAAAGUACAGACAGCCUCCUUGAGCCUCUUUUUCUUUCACCCCGAUAGCCAGUCUAUUGGUCUUGCUCUGAAAUGCUUAUCAGAAUGACCUACUCCUCUUCUCAUCUCUUACCUGCCCUUCAACAGUAACUUUCUGUAUGACCUUUCUCUUUCCACUCCUGCACCUCUGUAUUUUAUUUGCUACCAAGCAGACACAGAUUAGAUUAUAGAAUAUAAAUCAGAUUAGGUUGCAUUCUUGCUUAAUCCAUUCAGUGGCCUCCCACUGCUCUUGGUUAAAUUCCACAUGUGUGGGCCCUGGCAUUACCCCUCUUUCCCCUCCGCACUGUGCUGCAGACUAGCCACCCCUGGUCCAUCAAGUCCUCCUCUGCCUUAGGAUCAUUGCAUCUGUUCUUUCUGAAGCUUGAAUUCUCUUCCACCAGCUUUUGAUAGGACUGUCUCACCAUCUUCUAAGGCAAACUUUCUAACCUUUCCCAAUAUAAUGAAACCCCGUCUCUACUAAAAAUAUAAAAAAUUAGCCAGGCAUGGUCGUGGGCACUUGUAAUCCCAGCUACUUGGGAGGCCUGAGGCAGGAGAAUCACUUGAACCCGGGAGGUGGAGGUUGCAGUGAGCUGAGAUCACACCACUGCACUCCAGCCUGGGCAACAAGAGCGAAACUCCAUGUCAAAAAAAAAAAGAAGAAAAUGAUCAUAUUUGUAAGUUGCACCGAGGAUUAGUGGAGGGUAUUUGGAGCCACUCAUAUGGAACUUGAUUUUUAAAUUUGGGCUUGGCAUGGUAGCUCAAGCCUGUAAUCCCAGCACUUUUUUAUUUGUUUGUUUGUUUAUUUUUUUUUUUUUUGAGACAAGAGUUUUGCUCUUGUUGCCCAGGCUGGAGUGCAGUGGCUCGAUCUCGGCUCACUGCAACCUCUACCUCCCGAGUUCAAGCGAUUCUCCUGCCUCAGCCUCCUGAGCAGCUGGGAUUACAGACAUGCACCACCAGUUCUGGCUA